CACCCAGCAGACCGGCUUUGAAGAACACCUGAGACACAGGUUAACAUGGUCAAUGGAACCACAGAUGGUGACAGACAGAAAGUGAAAUGAAGAAGAAAGAACAAAAGGAUGGAUAGAUCACCUGGAGAGAUUUUAUAUGGUGGAGGAGCAGGAUACAGGGCAGCCAGAAUUUUGACUCCGGACUUCUGGUACAGCUGACAAACUGAGUCGUUCAGGGGAUCCUU